GGCUGGUCUGAAGGUCGGAGGCCUAAUUUUAACGCGUUUUCCUCCCUUUAAUUUGAAACGGGAACGCGAAUGACUGUAAAAUAGGAAGACAAACAUAAAGAUGAAGUGCUUAAUUCAAGGUCACACAAUGUCGGGGAUGGACCUCCAGAUUUCCUUACUGGAAAACAAGCUCAGGGCUCCCACUGAUUGUACAUUAUGGUGAGACGUGGUCUUGUAACACAGUGGUUAAGAAUGUGACUUUGGAGCCAGCCUGCUAGGGGCUGAAUUCUGACUCAGCCAUUUACUAACUGUGUGACCUUAGGUGGAGUCUCACUCUGUAGCCCAAGCUGGAGUGGCGUGAUCUCGACUCACUGCAACCUCCGCCUCCUGGGAUCAAGUGAUUCUCGUGCCUCAGCCUCCUGAGUAGCCGGGACUACAGGUCACAGAAUUUUCCACACUCCUUGACAGAGGUGCUUAACCCUUAUCCAUCAGCAUUCUCAGACAGCACCUCCGGUUAGGGACAGUAUCUGACCGUCCGACAUCCCUGCAGCCCCCAUGUGUCACACAGACUCAGCCUCAGGUAGAUGGUUUCCGUAGAUGGUGGCUUUCUUUGGACCCUUGACAUCAACCAGUUACUAUUUGACUCUUCUGCAGAACCCCAUGUUGACCCCUGCUUUGAGGUGGCAGAGUUAACACUACUCUUCGUUAUAAGCUCUCGUCUGGGGCAACUCAGAAGAACCUCCUGCAACCACCGCUGUACUUUCUGUCUCUAUGAACUUGACUACUCUAGACACCUCAUGGGACCAGAUGUGCAGAGGUAAUGAAUACCAGGGAAUCAGGAAACCACUGGAUCAGUUCUUUGAGCCACAGAACAACACUCAUCCCAGCAGCUGGGAAGCUAUCUGCAAAAGUCCAUCUGCAGAAAGGGCUUCCUGGUCUUGCGUGUGGCUGGGCCAUUUCUCUGGAUGCAGGUUUUUCAUUAUACAGUCUUCUCAAAGAACCACCUGCUCUCAACACCUUCUCGGUGACUCCAUUUCCCCUCCUCU
rnacentral:lncRNA from 1 species